CAGCAGCCGCGGUAAUACGUAGGGUGCAAGCGUUGAUCGGAAUUACUGGGCGUAAAGCGUGCGCAGGCGGUUUGUUAAGACAGAUGUGAAAUCCCCGGGCUCAACCUGGGAACUGCAUUUGUGACUGGCAAGCUAGAGUGUGGCAGAGGGGGGUGGAAUUCCGCGUGUAGCAGUGAAAUGCGUAGAUAUGCGGAGGAACACCGAUGGCGAAGGCAGCCCCCUGGGCCAACACUGACGCUCAUGCACGAAAGCGUGGGGAGCAAACAGGAUUAGAUACCCGUGUAGUCCCUGUCUCUUAUAC
rnacentral:rRNA from 1 species